CGGCUGUAAUGGUCAUAAUUCUGAGAGGUGCAUUGAAACCGUAAUGUCUUUCCCUUUCAACUGCCAGGGCGAGGGCCCAGUUCGAAUCCGGUGGUGCCCGACCAACUCGCACAGGUAACUUGCGAUGAAGGCGGGCCUAAGCAAUGAAGUCGACCGUCGAGGGAAGCAAUUCUGCAGACACGUCUUCACCAUUGGAUGGCGGUGCUGGAAUACCCUUGCCUUGGUUUGGGAUGGGCGUUACGGACUGAUGAAUCAACCAGGUAAUCUU
rnacentral:SRP_RNA from 1 species